rnacentral:rRNA from 1 species
GACGAACGCUGGCGGCGUGCUUAACACAUGCAAGUCGAACGGAAAGGCCCUGCUUUUGUGGGGUGCUCGAGUGGCGACCGGGUGAGUUACACGUGAGUAACCUGCCAUUGCCUUUGGGAUAACUUCAGGCAACUGGGGCUCAUACCGGCUAGGAGCUACUGCUUCAUGGUGGGGGUUGGAUAGUUUCGGCGGUUGGGGAUGGACUCGCGGCUUAUCAGCUUGUUGGUGGGGUAGUGGAUUACCAAGGCUUUGACGGGUAGCCGUCCUGAGAGGGUGACCGGCCACAUUGGGACGGAGAUGCGGCCCAGACUCCUACGGGAGGCAGCAGAGGGGAAUAUUGCACAAUGGGCGGAAGCCUGGUGCAGCAACGCCGCGUGCGGGAUGACGGCCUUCGGGUUGUAAACCGCUUUCGCCUGAGACGAAGCGUGAGUGACGGUAAUGGGUAAAGAAGCACCGGCUAACUACGUG